GAUAAACGCUAGCGGCAGGCCUAACACAUGCAAGUCGAGGGGUAACAGGUGUAGCAAUACAUGCUGACGACCGGCGCACGGGUGAGUAACGCGUAUGCAACCUACCUUUAACAGGAGGAUAGCCCCGAGAAAUCGGGAUUAAUACUCCAUAAAAUUUUAAUACCGCAUGGUAAAAAAAUUAAAGUUUCGGCGGUUAAAGAUGGGCAUGCGUGACAUUAGUUAGUUGGUGAGGUAACGGCUCACCAAGACAGCGAUGUCUAGGGGUUCUGAGAGGAUUAUCCCCCCACACUGGUACUGAGACACGGACCAGACUCCUACGGGAGCAGCAGUGGGGAAUCUUAGACAAUGGGCGCAAGCCUGAUCUAGCCAUGCCGCGUGAGCGAUGAAGGCCUUAGGGUUGUAAAGCUCUUUCAGGGGGGAAGAUCAUGACUGUACCCCCAGAAGAAGCCCCGGCUAACUCCGUGCCAGCAGCCGCGGUAAUGU
rnacentral:rRNA from 1 species